AGCCAGACUCCUACGGGAGGCAGCAGUGGGGAAUAUUGCACAAUGGGGGAAACCCUGAUGCAGCGACGCCGCGUGAGUGAAGAAGUAUUUCGGUAUGUAAAGCUCUAUCAGCAGGGAAGAAAAUGACGGUACCUGACUAAGAAGCCCCGGCUAACUACGUGCCAGCAGCCGCGGUAAUACGUAGGGGGCAAGCGUUAUCCGGAUUUACUGGGUGUAAAGGGAGCGUAGACGGCAUGGCAAGUCAGAUGUGAAAGCCCGGGGCUCAACCCCGGGACUGCAUUUGAAACUGUCAGGCUGGAGUGCAGGAGAGGUAAGUGGAAUUCCUAGUGUAGCGGUGAAAUGCGUAGAUAUUAGGAGGAACACCAGUGGCGAAGGCGGCUUACUGGACUGUAACUGACGUUGAGGCUCGAAAGCGUGGGGAGCAAACAGGAUUAGAUACCCCUGUAAUG
rnacentral:rRNA from 1 species